UGCCCCAUGGCUUAGUUGGUCAAAGCGUCCGACUGUUAGGUUGUGUGAUCACGUGUUACGCAAUUAACUCAAUCGGGAGAUCGAGAGUUCAACCCUCUCUGGGGCAG
rfam:Phlebia centrifuga strain FBCC195 PHLCENscaffold_1099, whole genome shotgun sequence.